AGAACGAACGCUGGCGGCAUGCCUAAUACAUGCAAGUCGAACGAACACUUCGGUGUUAGUGGCGCACGGGUGCGUAACGCGUGGGAAUCUGCCCUUGGGUUCGGAAUAACAGUUGGAAACGACUGCUAAUACCGGAUGAUAUCGAAAGAUCAAAGAUUUAUCGCCCAGGGAUGAGCCCGCGUAGGAUUAGCUAGUUGGUGAGGUAAAGGCUCACCAAGGCGACGAUCCUUAGCUGGUCUGAGAGGAUGAUCAGCCACACUGGGACUGAGACACGGCCCAGACUCCUACGGGAGGCAGCAGUAGGGAAUAUUGGACAAUGGGCGCAAGCCUGAUCCAGCAAUGCCGCGUGAGUGAUGAAGGCCUUAGGGUUGUAAAGCUCUUUUACCCGAGAUGAUAAUGACAGUAUCGGAGAAUAAGCCCCGGCUAACUCCGUGCCAGCAGUCGC
rnacentral:rRNA from 1 species